CAAUGAGCUGACUGCAGGUCCCCCUGGCCCCUGCUCUGUAAUACAGUUUCUUAGAUGGUAAACAGCACUCGAAGUUGAGAGUGAAUGUGGACAAAGGGGAGACUGAAUCGCAGCUCUCAGAGUUUAUUAACAUCUGCUCAGUGCCUCUGAGGCCAGUUCUCAGAAUCCAAAGCAGAAGGGUGUGAAAAUCAAUCACCCAUGAUUUUACCCCUGCCAGGUCAACUCCAAGGGGUUUUAAUAUGCAUAUAUGAAGUGUGUCUCUCCAAGUCUAUAUUCUGCAUGAGGAAAGAAAUUAUCCCAAUCUGUGGCCCCCCCCUGCCCCUGGCAAGACCACAGGACAUGUAUGAAAAUAUAAACUUCAGGGGCUGUGAAGGUUAUGACCUCAGCACUUCUCCCCAGGCACUUCUCGGUCUAUAUGGCAAGAACUUUGUGGGAUAUCUGGAGCAUAUUUUGGACAUUAUCUUCUCAGCAAGCACUUAAACCAAAUGAAUUAUCAUUUUAUUUCUAGAUAGUUUGUGGUUUUUAAAAAAAUGAUUACCAUUGUUAUAACAUUUUAAAAAAAAUACAGUAAUUAAAUUUUUUAAAAUACACUAAUGUUUAAAGAAGAAAAUGUUGAGUAUAAUAGCAAAAUCGAAAAACAUCACUUGUAUCAUUUUCUUUCUAUGGAUUUUAACAUAGUAGAGAUUAUUACCUAUAUACAAUCUGUCUUCUGCUUUGAAGCCCAGUGACCCCCCCCCACCCCAAGCAAUAAACUCCUAUUAGUAAAACUUCUUAAAAUAUUUAAAAGGCCAAAGCCAUUCUAUUCUAUGGCUGUAGGACCCUUUACUAGACAUUAUCGUGGGUUAUCUGUGUUUCCAAUUUUUAUUACUGUAUUAUAAAUAAUACUGCAGUGAACAUCUUUAAGCAUAAAACAGAGUUCCUAGAUUAAAGGGUAUGGCUAUUGUGAAGUCUCCUGACACAACUGUCAUGUUGUAGGCUGGAAAGGGUGCACCUGCCUUUACUUAUUUUUGUCAUGUUUCUUUAAGCCUCAGAGCAACAAUGUUUGAUAAAUAGGAGCUUAACAGCCAUCUUGGAGCUCAAACAUAAGAAGGAAAGAGGCAGAGUCAGCGUCCUCAUCCCCCGCUACUUUGUGGGAGUGGUUUAUUAUAGAGAGAGUGGGAGAAGGAAAACCAGGCACGGCAACUGCAAACAUGCUAAAUGAUUUCCAAGUCCAAAUAGAGAAGAAAACAGAUAGGGAGCUGAUGCAUUUAUACCGACUGACAUGUAAACCACAGGACAGGGACCACUGUUCCUAAAACCUGGCUGUCUAGAGCCUCAUUUUGCUCAUUCUCAAAUAAGGAAAAAGACUGAGACUUUUUCACAUAAACACAGGUAGAGAACUUCAGA
rnacentral:lncRNA from 1 species